CUCCACAGAUCAGCUCCUGAAGACCCUAGAAAAAAGGGUUUUUGGUGGAUGGCACAGCCCUCAACCAACCUGCUCAGCUACAGCUGAGAGACAAGAGUCCGCUGGUUUCAACAUCAAGUUGGCUAACUUUUACAGUGAUGUGACUUGCCAAUUGAAAACCAUCAAUGGCUUUGCCUAAAUUAGAAAGUAAACCAGGAAGAUGUUUCCUGUAUGUGUAGCUGGUCAAUGCAUCCAUACAGAAGAUACGUUCCAGAACAAGUGCUUGCCAUCAUUAAGAAGUUGCAUCUUGUCCUUGUUUCCCAAUUGUUUGAUGGUAUUAAUGGAAGCAAAAAGAACAUUCAAGAUACCUUCUUGGUACUUCUCUUACUACUCCAGAGUCCUAACCAAGGCCAUGAGCUCUGCUAUUGCAGAAAAUGUGAAUGCAAGGACUAUGGAAAUACUGGAUAUUGGAGAGUUUCUUUCUCUGGAAGACCUGUAGAUCAUCAGCACUCAAGCUAUAACUCGGUUUGGACCUCCUUCAUGACUGGAUUCUGCUACUCUCUCCCCAGACUAGCUACAGGUGAUCACUGAGGUUCAACUCAUUGAGUACUCAAGUGUGUUUGCAUGGGAGCAGGAGGAAGGAUGGAGGAUCUAAAGGUAUCCUGGUUACAACAGCAACAUAACUGAAUCAGCUUUAAUGGCUGGCUGAAGCUAGCACUGUAUCCUGGCAUCCAGCAUGGGCUGCAACACUGAGUGACAAUUCAGGCUACAGCUGGUUUAGGCUGAGUUUUAUGGUGUGUGACUAGCAAAGUAGCUAAGCUAGCUCACUGAUGCUCUCCCAAAUUAUUUCUAUCUUAACAAUACAGGUAGGCCCAAGCAUGGAGGCAGUUACCUAUUAGUGGUUCAAGAACUAUCUAAAAUAUUUAAACAUUUUGAGAUGUUCUUCUGGAAAUGAAAAUAAAAAGCAAACUAGUUCUGGAAGCCUCAAGACAUUUGAAGUAUAUCACUCCUCGUGCAGUAUCAAAAUCCAAAGAGACAGGAAUUUUGAAGACUUAUCUAUGGACUCAAUAAAAUCUAAAAACAGAUAUUUAGUAAGGUGAGUAUUUUCCCUAGAUCAUUAGUUGCAGUACUUAGAGGCACUGCAGAGCUUCGACCAUCAAAUUCUUUACAGUGAGCUGCAACCUGCUGUAACUACUGCUCUUGCAUUUGCCUAUCAAAAGAGAAAGUAUAAGACUGUUUUCUUUUCAUACAAGACUGUUAAUGCUGAAACCAUUGGCUAGUAAACUACUCAAUUAAGGAUAUAUUAACUAGGAUACUUUAUCUCACUCUUAUUUUCGAGAGUCAACAAUCCAAGUACAAGGAGACUAAUGACUAAAAAUUCAGCCUCUUCUGUACAACUGAUGGAGUUCUGUUCCUGAGCUACCUCCUCCUCGAUUCAUUCAGCAUGAAUGGCAGAUUCCUACAUCGUGUCAAGUUUCAGAUCACCAUAGAAACAAACUAGGAGGCAGUUUCAUUAAUCAUUUAGAGCACAAGAAGUCUAGGUCAGUCUGAUUGCAGCAUAUAGAGUAUCAUCCUAGCGCCACAUGGGACUCAGUUGAUUUGAAUUAAAAAAGAUUAAGCUGCCCCUAGGACGCUCAGCAUCAUCAGUUUAAGUUCUCAUGUAACAGUGGUCUCUGGAGCCACAUGGAUUAGGAGACUGAAGCUAUGCAUUUAUUUUUCAGGGCUCAGUGAAACAUUAGAUGAGUGCAGGUGUCUGAGGGGAAAAAAGGACAAAGAUCACAUAUAGUUUUUUAGACUUGUUGCUGUUCUUUUGAAACUGGAAACAAUAACUCAGUUUUAUUUCUCCAGUGACAGUUACCACUCUUUUUUGGCAGUGCAAUGGUACAUCUGUUACCCAAUGUUUACAACUUAGAUUUAUAACAAUUUCAUACUAUGCACCCUAAUUUUAGUGCAGAGCUGCAAGUUGGGCAUAGAACAGUUUACAUGAAUGCUGACUUUUUUUUUUCAUGAUGGAGUAAAAAAUGCACAAAAUAAAUACUGGUGACAUUUUAGUUUUACUUGAAUGAAGAUUUAUUGCUCCCAGGAAGCUUACUUACAGGCAGCUACAAAUCAACUUGACUGUGAAAUAGCUGUAUAUGUACACCACAAAAUGAGACCCCCCCCUCCCAAAGUACUCACCUUAUUUAUGGGUCUUUCCAGUACUUCAAAGACCUUUAGUAACUUAGUCCAGGCUGGUUUAUUGCUUCAUAGAACUAAGACAUUUCAAGAGGAAAGUUGUAGGUUACAGUGGGCAGCUGAGAAUCCCAUGAUGCUAUAUGAACUGUUGAUCUAAAGCUUAUUAUAGCUUCACUUCCUACAGUAUAAUUCUUAAAUCUUUUAAGUUAUACAGUGCUGUCUU